UAGUCUGUUGACUAGUAUUUUUUUCUGUUGUUUGGUCUUAGGGUUUUGACCCACCGCAUCAAAGUGACACAAGAACUAUUUACAUAGCCAACAGAUUCCCUCAGAAUGGCCUAUAUACACCUCAGAAAUUUAUAGAUAAUCGGAUCAUUUCAUCCAAGUAUACUGUGUGGAAUUUUGUCCCAAAAAAUUUAUUUGAACAAUUCAGAAGAGUGGCAAACUUUUAUUUUCUUAUUAUAUUUUUGGUUCAGCUUAUGAUUGAUACACCUACCAGUCCAAUUACCAGUGGACUUCCAUUAUUCUUUGUGAUAACAGUAACUGCCAUAAAACAGGGCUAUGAAGACUGGUUGCGCCAUAACUCAGAUAAUGAAGUAAAUGGAGCUCCUGUUUAUGUUGUUAGAAGUGGUGGACUUGUAAAGACUAGAUCAAAAAACAUUCGUGUGGGUGAUAUUGUUCGUAUAGCCAAAGAUGAAAUUUUUCCUGCAGAUUUGGUGCUUCUGUCCUCAGAUCGACUUGAUGGUUCAUGUCAUGUUACAACUGCUAGUUUGGAUGGAGAGACGAACCUGAAGGUUUGUUCAUGUGUAUGUUCUUGAUGCUUAUAAGGCUUC